UACAGCAGAAUACAAGAAAUACAAACCAAGUAAAAUAAAGUGUGGGAAUCGAUGCAGUCACAUCGGGUGCGCCGACAGAUCAAACGUGCUGCGCAUUUGAUGAUUUUGCACAGCUAAGAAUGAAGGUUACAUUGUGUCUGUUGUUUGUCCUCUUUGGACUUAUUUAUGCUGAAAAAGGACAAAGAGGAUAUAGUCCAAGACACAAUCUGAAACAUUAUGGAUCAAUAGAAGGUAGAGGAUUGUGGUUAGAGUGUGGGUUCUCUGGCGACUGUAAUUCCUAUCACAGAUUCAAUGGUGGUGGUGGAUCUGGGGGCAGAAUCGGCGGUGUCGGAUAUGGUUAUGGUAUUGGUUCUGGAUACGGAGGGUAUAGAAAUGUUGGAUAUGGUGGGUAUGGCAUUGGUUCCGGAUAUGGGUAUGGCAUUGGUUCCGGAUAUGGGUAUGGCAGUGGUUCUGGAUAUGGGUAUGGCAGUGGUUCCGGAUAUGGUUAUGGUAUUGGUUCUGGAUACAAAAAUUAUGGUGGAUAGGGCGUUGGUUCCGGAUAUGGUCGAAAAGGACUUUAUUAAAUAGACGCUGGUAUUUGGAUGCCCGAAGAUGAUCAUACUUCACAUUUAAGCUUCUUAUAAAUACACACAUGUAUAUUGUAUAGAAUAAAUAUGUUGAGCCGGA